rnacentral:ncRNA from 2 species
GGACAUAACCGAAUAUUUGCCAAUAUAGGUUUGAAUAUGAAGGCUCAAACGUUUCUACCGCACACCGGAAAAGUUGCGACUAUUGGUGGGAUAGCUUAAGGG